ACCCUUUAAUGUUUGAUGUUCUAACGUGGACCCGUAAUCCGGGUUGCGGACAGUGUCUGGUGGGUAGUUUGACUGGGGCGGUCUCCUCCUAAAGAGUAACGGAGGAGCACGAAGGUUGGCUAAUCCUGGUCGGACAUCAGGAGGUUAGUGCAAUGGCAUAAGCCAGCUUGACUGCGAGCGUGACGGCGCGAGCAGGUGCGAAAGCAGGUCAUAGUGAUCCGGUGGUUCUGAAUGGAAGGGCCAUCGCUCAACGGAUAAAAGGUACUCCGGGGAUAACAGGCUGAUACCGCCCAAGAGUUCAUAUCGACGGCGGUGUUUGGCACCUCGAUGUCGGCUCAUCACAUCCUGGGGCUGAAGUAGGUCCCAAGGGUAUGGCUGUUCGCCAUUUAAAGUGGUACGCGAGCUGGGUUUAGAACGUCGUGAGACAGUUCGGUCCCUAUCUGCCGUGGGCGCUGGAGAACUGAGGGGGGCUGCUCCUAGUACGAGAGGACCGGAGUGGACGCAUCACUGGUGUUCGGGUUGUCAUGCCAAUGGCACUGCCCGGUAGCUAAAUGCGGAAGAGAUAAGUGCUGAAAGCAUCUAAGCACGAA
rnacentral:rRNA from 2 species